rnacentral:rRNA from 1 species
GAUGAACGCUGACAGAAUGCUUAACACAUGCAAGUCAACUUGAACUUCGGUUUGGGUGGCGGACGGGUGAGUAACGCGUAAAGAACUUGCCUCACAGUUAGGGACAACAUUUGGAAACGAAUGCUAAUACCUGAUAUUAUGAUUUUAGGGCAUCCUAGAAUUAUGAAAGCUAUAUGCGCUGUGAGAGAGCUUUGCGUCCCAUUAGCUAGUUGGAGAGGUAACGGCUCACCAAGGCGAUGAUGGGUAGCCGGCCUGAGAGGGUGAACGGCCACAAGGGGACUGAGACACGGCCCUUACUCCUACGGGAGGCAGCGGUGGGGAAUAUUGGACAAUGGACCAAGAGUCUGAUCCAGCAAUUCUGUGUGCACGAUGAAGUUUUUCGGAAUGUAAAGUGCUUUCAGUUGGGAAGAAAAAAAUGACGAUACCAACAGAAGAAGAGACGGCUAAAUACGUG